ensembl:lncRNA CDK5R2-AS1 CDK5R2 antisense RNA 1
GGGAAGGCGGUGGUCGUCGUUCGAGUGGCCUCCUCAGGGUCAGAGUUGAGAAGGGGUGGUGGCUGCUCCUGCCUCCUCCGGAUCCUAGGGCCUGGACCAGCUUGUUCUGAUGCACUGGGUCGCGGUAGCAGAUAAACCAUGGGAACAGCUCUCCUUCCCUCUGCCUUUGAAUUUGUGUGGGGGGCCAGUGUGAGCAGUGAGUGCCCUCACCGGAUGCCCAGGUCCCAGAUGGGUCGCGUUGCACUGGCUCCUCCAAUGUGACUGUCAGGAAUCACUCAGGGGCCCUAGAGUUUCAGAAGCUGCCUCCUGAAAGCGGCUGAACCCUGGAGUCCAGGCCUCCUUUGGGCCAGAACAAGGGGCUCACUGACCCAGAUCUCUCCCCACAUCUUUUUUUUUUUGAGACAAAGUCUCACUCUUUUGCCCAGGCUAGAGUGCAGUGGCAUGAUCUUCACUCAUUCCUGGGCUCAAGGGAUCCUCCCACCUCAGCCUCCCAAGUAGUUGGGACCACAGGCAUGCAUCACCAGGCCUGGCUAAUUUUUGUACUUUUUGUAGAGAUGGAGUUUCACCAUGCUGCCCAGGCUGGUCUCUAACUCCUGGGCUCAAGCAGUCUGCCCACCUCAGCCUCAAAGUGUUAGGAUUACAGGCAUGAGCCACCUCGCCCAGCCUUCUCAGAUGCCCUUAUCAGUAGAGGGAGGGGCAAAGAAGAAAUCUCACUCAUUCACAAAUCGCACAAAAAAUGUUUGUCACCUUAAGAGGGACAGACAGUGCAGGGUCUCCUAUGUGGGUUCUGAGGUCAUUCGGUCUAUGUUCAAAUCCAGCCCCUCCACUUAUGACCUGGGGCCCUUGGGGCAAGUUUCUUAAUUCUUCUGAGGUCUAUAAAAGUGGACCAUACAAGGUGCAGUAGGAAGAGAUCACCAUCCACAGUCGGGCUGAGGCUGAAAGCACGUACCAGAUCAAGUAUGAGGAGCUGCAGACGCUGGCUGGGAAGCAUGGGGAUGACCUGCGUUGUGCAAAGACAGAUCUCCGAGAUGAACCAGAACAUCAGCAGGCUCCAGGCUGAGACUGAGGGCCUCAAAGGCCAGGGGGCUUCCCUGGAGGCCGCCAUCGCAGAUGCCGAGCAGUGGGGGGAGCUGGCCAUUAAAGAUGCCAACACCAAGCUGUCUGAGCUGGAGGCCGCCAUGCAGCGGGCCAAGCAGGACAUGGCACGCAGCUGGGUGAGUACCAGAAGCUGGCCCUGGACAUCGAGAUCGCCACCUACAGGAAGCUGCUGGAGGGCGAGGAGAGCCGUCUGGAGUCUGGGAUGCAGAACUCUUGCUGAGGCUGGAAUGCAGUGGUGUGAUAAUGGCUCACUACAGCCUCAACCUCCUGGACUCAAGUGAUCCUCCCACCUCAGCCUCCUGUGCAGCUGGGACCACAGGCAUACACCACCAUGCCCAGCUAAUUUAGAGCCACUCUCCUGAUGCUCAUUAGCAAGCCAGCCUCUGGCCCCUCCUAGGCUUGGUGAUAUCACCCCUCACCUGUCGCAGCUCCUGCCUCUCUCUUCCCAAAAACCUCUGCAGCUUUCACUUCCCCAGCAUGAUCUUAGUUUAGGCUUUCACAAAAGACUGGAAGAGCAGUGGCCUGGAAGCAACAUCUGAAAUAUCAACUUUUUUGUGACCAGAGACACCAAGGGGGAUUGGCAAGAGGAAAAGAUGGAGUCGGAGGCUCCAGGCUCAGUCCUUGGAGCUCUUCUCUCUGUAUCCUCUUUCUAGGUGAAAUUCACCCAUAUGUUGAUGACAUUCAAAUUUACGUCUCCAACCUGGAUCUCUCUUUUAAACACCAGACCUACUUGAGAUCUCCACUUGGAUGUAUUAUAGGCAUUUCAACAUGGCCAAAACCAACUCCUGAUACUCCCUCCCCACUUGCUCCUGCUGCUGCUCCCAUCUCCGUUAACAGUAAUUCUAGUUUACUAAAUCUCAGAUGAAUGUUUUGGAGUUAUCUUUGACUCCUCUUUUUAUUUCACGCCCAUAUUUAAUGCAUCAGCAAAUCUGGAUGGUUCUGCCUGCAAAAUAUAUCCAGAAUUCAACCACUGCUCACUACCUCCUUUGCCUCCACCCUGGCCCAAGCCACCACUAUCUCUUGCUUGGUUUAUUGCAAUAGCCCCCUAACGGUUCUUCCUACUUCUUCCCUACCUGCAGUGCUUUCUCAAAAUGGUAGAUAGAGUGGUCCUGUUAAAAUGAAAGCCAGAUCAUGUCACUCUUCUGUUUAACACCCUCCAACGGCUCCCAUCUCUGGUAGAGGAAAAUCCCAAGUCUUUACUAUGACCUACAAGGGCCUAUUGGUAGAUUAAAGAUAGUCACAAAUUAUUUGACACUCUUCCCAUUGAAAGGUAUAUUGCUAUCUCCCUUUCCAUGACUUCUUUGACCAAUGAAAUAUGGCAGAAGUGGCCAGUCGCGGUAGCUCAUGUCUGUAAUUCCAGCAUUUUGGGAGGCCAAGGCAGGUGGAUCCCUGAGGUCAGGAGUUCGAGACCAGCCUGGCCAACGUGGUGAAACCCCGUCUCUACUAGAAAUAUGGCAGAAGUGCCACUGUGUCUGUUUCUGUGUCCAGGCCUUAGAAGACUGGCAUUUUCUAUUUCCUGUCUCUUGAAACACUUGCUCUUGGAACCUUCAGACACCAUGUAAGAAAUCCAGCUAUUCUAAUAGAGACCACAUGGAGAGGCCCUGAGACUACAUGGAGAGGAAGAGGGGCCUAGCUGAACCCAGCCUUCCAGCUAUCUCCCCCAGGCACCAAACAUGAGAGUGAAACCACGUGGAAUCCUACAGACCAACCCAUCUGCCAGUGAACAUCAGAGUGACCUUAUUUGAUGCUAGUAGAGCAGAAAAAAAUGCCCAGUUGAAUUUUGUCCAAAUUCCUGAUCCACCAAUUGUGAGAUACAAAAAGGUGGUUGUUUUAAGCCACAAAACUUGAGAUAGUUUCUCAUGCAGAAAUAGAGAACCAAACCAGCUAAUCCGACCUUGCCCCCUUCCAUCAUCUUCAUGACCUCAUUUACUGCCUUUUUUUUCCCUCAUGCCUCUCUAGUCAUCGCUGCUUCCUUGCAGUUCCUCAAAUCCUCCAGACCAGCUUCUGCCCAGGACUUUUGCAUGUGCUGUUCCCAGUGUACAUUCUUCCACCUGCACAUAAAUAAAGCA